UACACGACUCUCGGCAACGGAUAUCUAGGCUCUCGCAUCGAUGAAGAACGUAGCAAACUGCGAUACUUGGUGUGAAUUGCAGAAUCCCGUGAACCAUCGAGUCUUUGAACGCAAGUUGCGCCCGAAGCCAUUAGGCCGAGGGCACGUCUGCCUGGGCGUCACGCAUCGCGUCGAAAGGGUCGCGGGCAGAGCUGGGGGGCGGAAGUUGGCUUCCCGUGCUCCGUCGCGGCCAGCCUAAAAAACAGUUCCCUCGUCGCGGACGUCGCGACAAGUGGUGGUCGUC
rnacentral:rRNA from 1 species